rnacentral:lncRNA from 1 species
CUUAUUUCCUUAGCUAGCAUGAUUAAACCUACACAGUGAAGCUAUCAUUUUGUGAUCAUGUUUUUCACCAUGCAUAUAUUUGCUUGAUGUUUAGCCUGUCGUACUUAACAUGCCUUUCGAUGUACUUACUGAGGACAAUGUUGGGAACGACCGUUAUUCUUUAUCGAGGUUAGUUUCAUCACAUGGCUUAUAUAUACUCCCU